AUGAACACUUGUGGAAGUAUCCUAAUCACCACUACUCGUAUGACUGAUGUUGCUCGGGCAUGUUGUUCAUCAUUUGUUGGUCACAUCUACAAUAUGAGGCCUCUUGAUAUGGCACAGUCAAGAAAACUAUUUUACACAAGACUAGACUCCAAAGAAGAUUGCCUUGAGCACCUUGAAGAAGUUUGUGAUCAAAUUUUAGAAAAAUGUGCCGGUUCACCUUUGGCAAUCAUUGCUAUAUCUGGUUUGUUGGCUAACAGAGAAAAUACCAUUGAAGAAUGGGAUAGAGUGAAAAAUUCAAUUGGACGUACACUUGAAAGAAAUGCUACCGUGGAAUUAAUGAUGAAGAUAUUAUCACUUAGCUAUUUUGAUCUUCCUGCUCAUCUGAAGACUUGUCUACUGUAUCUGAGUAUAUUUCCAGAGGACUAUAUUAUUGAGAAGAAGGACCUGAUAAGGAGAUGGAUUGGUGAAGGGUUCAUACGUAAAGAGGGCAGAUAUACAUUAUAUGAGUUAGGACAAAGGUAUUUUAAUGAGCUAAUCAAUAGGAGUCUGGUCCAGCCUGUUAAGUCAAAUGAACAUGGUGUGGUGAUGAGUUGUCGAGUUCAUGACACAAUUCUUGAUUUCAUCACAUCCAAGUCCAUUGAAGAGAACUUUGUUACUUUCAAUGGUCUUCCGGAUCUAAACACUGUGACACAGCGCAAAGUUCGUCGUCUAUCUCUCCAAGUUGGGAAUCAAGGAAAUUCUUCAAAUAGCUUGUUGUUGUCUCAUGUCCGAUCAAUUAAUGUGUUUGGGUAUUCCGGAGAAAUUCCUUCUCUGGAUAAGUUCAAGUAUUCGCGUGUUUUAGACUUUGGAGGCUUUAGCCAACUGGAGAGCCAUCAUCUUGCAAAUAUAGGGAGAUUGUUUCAGUUAAAGCACCUGAACUUGAGAAACACAAGAAUAAAUGAGUUAUCAGAACAAAUCGGACUUCUAGUGUUCUUACAGAUGCUGGACAUAAGAGGCACAUACGUGAAUAAAUUACCUGCAUCUAUUGCUAAUCUCAGAAGAUUGGUGUAUCUCCUCACGGACACGGGUGUUAUAUUUCCAGAUGGAAUUGCCAAGAUGCAAGCACUGGAGAUACUGAAGCGGGUCGCAGUCUUCAAGCAAUCAGUUAACUUUCUGCAAGAAGUUGGCCAACUAAAGAAUAUGCGAAAGCUGAUCCUAGAUUGUGAAGAAAAUACAGCAGCAGUUAAGGAGCAGGGUGAUGCAACGGGAGUUAAGGAGGAGCGCAAUAAAGCUAUUGGCUGUUCUCUCCAUAAACUGUGGACACAGAACAUUGGUUCUGUAACUAUUUGGAAUCAUGAAUGCCGUAUCUCGGUGGAACCAAAGAGCAAGAAACUUAUGGGUGGGGCACCGCAAGUUCAGAGUUGGAUGGGCUUCCUCAUCAAUCUCCAAGAGUUGCAGCUUGAAGUGCAGGGAGUCGACCAGGAACAUAUCUGCAUCCUUGGAGGCUUACCAGCUCUGAUUGUCCUGAAGAUGAAAGUAGCAGCAAAGGGUAAUGACCUGCUCAGAGUCAGUGGUGCAGUUGGGUUCCCAUGCUUGAGGGAGUUACUUUAUCAUAAAGUACUGUUUGGAGGGAUGGAUCUAUUGUUUGAACCAGGAUCCAUGCCCAAGCUAGAGAAACUUGAUCUUCUGUUCAACGCAGCGGAAUGUGACUCUCUCAGCAGCGAAGCUUUCGAUCUCGGAAUCGGUAACCUCCUCAACCUCGGCAGUGUCAAAUGUGAAGUACGUGGCUGGCUCAACAGUGCUGUUUCAGCAGCAAAGGCUUAUUUGGAGAAAACAGCCAGGACACAUCCCAACUGCCCUACUCUACUGCUUGCAUAG
rnacentral:rRNA from 1 species